AUGUCCAUGAUAAUCGUAGUAAUCUUAGUUCUUGGCCUUUCAUUUGGGAAAAAAGCUAGAUCUAUUCAUGAUAAUCGUAGUUCUUACCUUUCAUUAUUUAUCUUUAGGUAUGCAAAGAGGUUGGCUUUGGUACAAGUCUUUUUUGGUAGAUUAGUUACACUGAAAUUCGAUAAACAUUUGCUGAAUAUACAGUAUCACAUGAAUCCUUGUAUUAGCUUGUUUCCAAAUGCUCAGAUUUAUGAGAGGAGGAUUUUAGAUGGUUCAAAUGUCCUGCCUCCUAGCUAUAACAAGGAUUAUACAUGCCUCUUGUUUGGCAGCUACACUCUUAUAAAUGACAGGAUGGAAGGGAAGACAAGGAGGGCACAGGAAACAGUCGACAAAACAUGGUUGAAGUUGUUGUUCUGCACCUCAUCCAAACCAUCUUUAGAUGUAUGUCUUGAGCUGAACCCUCACUUUUCUUGCAACCUUGGUAUAUCAUGCCUCGAUGUCCUUGGUAGUUAUUAA
rnacentral:rRNA from 1 species